rnacentral:lncRNA from 1 species
AGACAUUUUCUGAAUCAAUUUGUAUUUAGCUUACUAUAUUUAAAAAACAAUCCUGCCCCCUUCUAAACAGAAGCCAGCAGCCCCCGCUCCCAAUGGGAAAGGUGUGUUAUUAAAAGUUAUGGUUUAAAAAAAAUCUGCCCUUCAGUUGUCCUAUUUUCUCUGGAAGAGAUGUAACAGGUAAAAUGCCGCAGUCGUUGGAGAUCAGAUAGGAGUAAAUGGGAUGAAUAAAUAAUAUUUCACCCUUAGCUAAGAAUAUUUUUGCUUUUUGAUAGAAUCAGAAAUUUGGGAUUUACACCCCCCUACACUCGUGUGUUACAAAGUUUGUCAUUCACUGGUUGGCUCAUAAUCAAUGCUGUCAAGUGAUAUGAAAAGUAUUGGGAAGAGGGAAUAAGAAGUGAGCUGCAUCCACAGAGGUGUGUGUGAUAAAAGGCUCCGCUUGCACACCAGGAUCCAGGAAUUCCCAAAAGAAAUUUUUUGUUCAGAAAAGCAGAGCGGGAGUACAGUGCACUCAGCUUCAUUGGAAACUGUCUCCACCUUCAACUAAAAAGGAAGAUGGGGAUAUAAUUCACCUGACACACUUGAAGCAGCUGUCAUUUGGCUAGCUGACAGAGAGACAAGACAAUAGGGUAAGUAGAACCUAUUGUUUUGUUACUAUAGACUGUUUGUUUAUUUUUCCUUGUCCUCUGGCUAAAUAA